CUUAAAUCUUUCAAGGCAGGCUCAAAAAUGUUGCAAUGGUAAAUUGGAUGUUUGACAACAGCAUAAGUGAAGCAAUCAUCAUGACAAAUAGUUUUGUCUAGCCAGAUGAAAUAUUCUGUGACGGUCAUAAAUGGGAGUAUUUCUGUUUGUAAAUUAGUUAGCUAGCUAAGAGGCAAGCUGGUUUAGUUAGCCAGCUAGCUAACGUUAUGUGGCUUUCAGAACAAGAGUGAACGACCUUGCACUCUCACGAUUGCAAUGAAUACUGGCGGCUGGGGGGGGGGGUCGAUCGUAUUCAACGACCAGGGGAGGGUCGCCCGGUAAUGAUCAACAUUUUGAAAACUACUUCAGUUAGUCAGUUAGCAAAUUAGCUAGUAACGUUAGCUAGCUCGGUUUGUUUGCUGUGUGGGCACGAGCGCCAGUUUAUACACUCGUCCGCUAACAAUUAAUUUGAGAUUUGGGGAAUUCUGAGGUCAUCAAUGUAUCUACAUGUUAUGAACAAAACACAUGAAUAGGGUCAUUUCAAGUAAACCAACAGACACUUGCAACGCCAUGUCUGCCUUACAGCAUCGUUGACAGCCACGGUUCCCCAAAGCUUCAGGACCUGAGCCCUAGGACCAUGCCUCAGGACUACCUGGCAUGAUGACUCCUUGCUGUCCCCAGUCCACUUGGCCGUGCUGCUGCUCCAGUCUCAACUGUUCUGCCUGCGGCUAUGGAACCCUGACCUGUUCACCGGACGUGCUACCUGUCCCAGACCUGCUGUUUUCAACUCUAGAGAGACAGCAGGAGCGGUAGAGAUACUCUUAAUGAUCGGCUAUGAAAAGCCAACUGACAUUUACUCCUGAGGUGCUGACUUUCUUAGUUUUUCCUAGCCACUGUGCUUCUACACCUGCAUUGCUUGCUGUUUGGGGUUUUAGGAUGGGUUUCUGUACAGCACUUUGAGAUAUCAGCUGAUGUAAGAAGGGCUAUAUAAAUACAUUUGAUCUACCAAAUGAAAGCUAGUGAGAAAAUACUGUAAGUUAAGGCCACUGUGAGAUGAGUCAAAGUUGCCACAUGAUAAAGCCUUACACACAUUUCGAUACAUUUAGUAUCAUGUCAAACGGUAAUUAUGAUGACAAAAUAAUGUCAAGACAUGAUACCGAUAUGAUAUGGCCUGGUAUAUCACAUUAUACCGCUAAUAAUUAAUUAUAUACACAUGAUGUACAUUUCAAACUUAAACAAACCUGUCUCUAGUCAACAAUCAGCAUGAAUGCUCGGACAUACAGUGCAUACUGCAAUACAUGGUUCAUAACCUGGACAUGGCUGUUGUGGUCAUUCAGUCAAUAGAUAGAGGAAGUCCAGAUUGUUGUGCCAUUAUUGAUAUAAAUGGUAUCCAAACAUUUACGUUUCACAAACAAAGUGGAGUCCCAUCAAGGGCUUGUUGUACAACACAGACAUGGAAGACACUAGACUCAUGCUUUGAAUAAAACAAUGAAUAUUAGCAAUAAAGGACAGCAGCACAAAUCCAACUGAAGAAGUUUUUGGACUUUAAAUAGACCUCUGAAAUUUCAAUAUUCUGGUUGUCAUACUGUAUUUCUUUUUUUUACAUUUUAACACUUCAACCCUCUUUAGUGGACAAAACAUGUCACCUAGCAAAGGUAGCUUUUGGACAAGUCAUAUGUCAAUUUCUUUCCCAUUUCUUAAAAGCUGAUAAAAACAUUUCAUGAGGAUGAGAGUAAGAGUCAAAAGCUUAUGAGCACAUCUCGCUCCUGUACACUGGUGUAAAAUUGCUUCCCAAAUACAAAGGAGUGCAGUCCAGCCCUUUGCUUUUCAGCCAACGCCAUGAUGAUAUUCAGGUCACCUUCCACCAUCAGGUCGAGGUCGGUCUUCAAGCUGCGCAAGGAGCAGAAAGGCUUCUUUCCCUUUUGCCUGUGGGUGGCGAAUUCAAACUGUUAUCAAAAGUUGUACUACAUGGUGUGCUGCUGUGCUGUGGCAAAAGUCAUAUUAAAACCCAUUACAUCUGC